AGCGAACGCUGGCGGCAGGCCUAACACAUGCAAGUCGAACGGAUCCUUCGGGAUUAGUGGCGGACGGGUGAGUAACACGUGGGAACGUGCCCUUUGGUUCGGAACAACUCAGGGAAACUUGAGCUAAUACCGGAUGUGCCCUUCGGGGGAAAGAUUUAUCGCCAUUGGAGCGGCCCGCGUAGGAUUAGCUAGUUGGUAGGGUAAAGGCCUACCAAGGCUACGAUCCUUAGCUGGUCUGAGAGGAUGAUCAGCCACAUUGGGACUGAGACACGGCCCAAACUCCUACGGGAGGCAGCAGUGGGGAAUCUUGCGCAAUGGGCGAAAGCCUGACGCAGCCAUGCCGCGUGAAUGAUGAAGGUCUUAGGAUUGUAAAAUUCUUUCACCGGGGACGAUAAUGACGGUACCCGGAGAAGAAGCCCCGGCUAACUUCGUGCCAGCAGCCGCGGUAAAAC
rnacentral:rRNA from 1 species